rnacentral:misc_RNA from 1 species
GGAAAAGAUAUAUACACAUGGAAGGAUACCUGAGAAAUUUCCAAAAGCUACAAUGGCUUUCUAGCCCAUUAUUUAUGACCAAAACUCAAUUUUGUGGUAGCUAACCACAAAAUUAUGGUACCCACUGACUGCUGAGACACUAAAAUAUACUAUAAAUUAAACCCAUUAAUGAGCACACUGUCUGCUACUGCCAAUAAUGGAGCAAUUUGGGUUUCCAUCACACAUAUAACUAGACAAUUCUGAAUUGGUACUUGGCCUGGAGAUGACCGUUUUAUUAGUCCCAUCAAUUGCUGUAAUUGGUAGUUCCUUUUGAGUCAUUGAUGUUGGCACUUGGCUUGAAUAGUCUUUACUUUUUCCCCACACAACAGAGUAUAGCCCGAUUGCUAUUAUUAUCCCUCCAAUGAUACUUCCAAGAUAAAGCUUUUCAGCUAAAAUAAUAGACCCAAGAGCCGCAACAAUGAUCAUGCACAGAGGGUUAAAUGCUGUAACAAAUACUGGACCUCUAGUCUUCAUUACAAGUCCUUGCACGUAGUAUGUGAUUCCAGAGGCAAUUAUCCCAGUGUAGACAGGAGCCAGGAGCCUGGUGUCCCAGCCAACAGCCCAUGCGCUGGGGUGGUGAGCAACCACCAGUGCUACGGCCAAGCUCUGAACGGUGCCGGCCAAGCAUAUCAACGACGACAGAGAGAUCUCCGCCGGGUACUUCUUUAAGGUUACGGACUGCAAAAUGUAGAAGGCAGACCAGGAGACACAGCCUACAAGUAUCAAUAGCGUCCCAGCGACCCAAUGUUUAUCGGAAUUGUGAGCAGAAUUUUCAUGAUGGGAUGAUUUGCUUGAGGAUAUUAGAUGAAUAAGAGGGCCCUUGUAAAGUGCCAUAAGCAGAGCUCCUCCGAAAGUAACCAGGGUUCCAAUUACCUUUGCCACGCUGCGUAUCUCCUUGAUCCUUAUGCGCUCUAACCUGUUAAAAAAUAUUCAACUUAGUAAUAUGUUCCCAAUUCUCUAAUUUUUU